GUUUGCCAUUUGACUCAUAUCGAACACGCGUCACACAACACACGUCAACCAGUCACAGCCCAGCAACUUGUCUACACAAGGAGUCUUACAGCCACAGAGAAAGGACAACGUAUAGGACAUACUGGUGUACCGUUAAUCUGCAUACGUGAGGAAUACUAAGCAGCAGGAUGUGUUCUGGGGAAAGAAUUAGUUGCAUCAAAUAUUUGAUGUACGCAUUCAACAUUCUGUUCUUGAUUCUUGGGCUUGGGAUUGUAGGAUUUGGAAUCUG